rnacentral:rRNA from 1 species
CCUACGGGAGGCAGCAGUGGGGAAUAUUGGACAAUGGGGGGAACCCUGAUCCAGCCAUGCCGCGGGUGUGAAGAAGGCCCUCGGGUUUUAAAGCACUUUCAGUGAGGAAGAACGCCUGGUGGUUAAUACCCAUCAGGAAAGACAUCACUCACAGAAGAAGCACCGGCUAACUCCGUGCCAGCAGCCGCGGUAAUACGGAGGGUGCGAGCGUUAAUCGGAAUUACUGGGCGUAAAGCGCGCGUAGGUGGCUUGAUAAGCCGGUUGUGAAAGCCCCGGGCUCAACCUGGGAACGGCAUCCGGAACUGUCAAGCUAGAGUGCAGGAGAGGAAGGUAGAAUUCCCGGUGUAGCGGUGAAAUGCGUAGAGAUCGGGAGGAAUACCAGUGGCGAAGGCGGCCUUCUGGACUGACACUGACACUGAGGUGCGAAAGCGUGGGUAGCAAACAGGAUUAGAUACCCGGGUAGUC